AUGAAUAAAAUUGCCAACACGAUUACGAAGAGAAGAGUGAGAUACGUUGAGGAAGUUUUACGAGUGAUAGCCAUUACACACUGGUAUUUUUUAAAGCAGUCAUGGGAAACGGUUAAAACCUGGAAUUUGCGUAACUAAAAGUAAUGAACCAGAGGCAAAGCAGACAGGCUUCUGGCACACAACAUUCGGUAAAGAAGAAGGUGUCAAGUUGGAUAAAUAGCAAAUGCACAGACUUGUAACUCGAUGAUUAAAUGCUAAAGAUAAAAAUGACUUUUUAAA